UACGAAGGGGGCUAGCGUUGCUCGGAAUUACUGGGCGUAAAGCGCACGUAGGCGGCUCUUUAAGUCAGAGGUGAAAUCCCAGGGCUCAACCUUGGAACUGCCUUUGAUACUGGAGAUCUUGAGUUCGGGAGAGGUGAGUGGAACUGCGAGUGUAGAGGUGAAAUUCGUAGAUAUUCGCAAGAACACCAGUGGCGAAGGCGGCUCACUGGCCCGGUACUGACGCUGAGGUGCGAAAGCGUGGGGAGCAAACAGG
rnacentral:rRNA from 1 species